AUUGAACGCUGGCGGCAGGCCUAACACAUGCAAGUCGAGCGGAUGACGGGAGCUUGCUCCUUGAUUCAGCGGCGGACGGGUGAGUAAUGCCUAGGAAUCUGCCUGGUAGUGGGGGACAACGUUUCGAAAGGAACGCUAAUACCGCAUACGUCCUACGGGAGAAAGCGGGGGACCUUCGGGCCUUGCGCUAGCAGAAGAGCCUAAGUCGGAUUAGCUAGUUGGUGGGGUAAUGACUCACCAAGGCGACGAGCCGUAACUGGUCUGAGAGGAUGAUCAGUCACACUGGAACUGUGACACGGUCCAGACUCCUACGGGAGGCAGCAGUGGGGAAUAUUGGACAAUGGGCGGAAGCCUGAUCCAGCCAUGCCGCGUGUGUGAAGAAGGUCUUCGGAUUGUAAAGCACUUUAAGUUGGGAGGAAGGGCAGUAAGCUAAUACCUUGCUGUUUUGACGUUACCGACAGAAUAAGCACCGGCUAACUCUGUGCCAGCCGCCGCCGUAA
rnacentral:rRNA from 1 species